rnacentral:rRNA from 1 species
AACGAACGCUGGCGGCGUGCCUAACACAUGCAAGUCGUGCGAGAAAGUUCCUUCGGGAGCGAGUAAAGCGGCGCACGGGUGAGUAACACGUAGGUAACCUGCCCCCCAGUCUGGAACAACUAGAGGAAACUCUAGCUAAUGCCGGAUGAGACCACGAUCCCUUCGGGGGGUUGCGGCCAAAGAUGGCCUCUACUUGUAAGCUAUCGCUGAGGGAUGGGCCUGCGGGCCAUUAGCUUGUUGGUGAGGUAACGGCUCACCAAGGCUGUGAUGGCUAGCUGGUCUGAGAGGAUGACCAGCCACACUGGGACUGAGACACGGCCCAGACUCCUACGGGAGCAGCAGUGGGGAAUAUUGCGCAAUGGGCGAAAGCCUGACGCAGCGACGCCGCGUGGGUGAUGAAGGCCUU